UCCCAAAACUCUGGAGGAUUUCCGAGUGAAGACGUGGGGCGGAGCGACCGUGACUAUCAUCAGCGGUGUCAUCAUGCUAAUCCUGUUUGUCUCUGAGCUGCAGUACUAUCUCACAAAAGAGGUCCACCCUGAGCUGUACGUCGACACAUCGCGAGGAGACAAACUCAAAAUCAACAUCGACGUCAUUUUCCCACACAUGCCCCU